GGCGCAGCGCCCCCCGCGGGCGGGAAGGGCCCCGCUCCAUGGCCGAGGAGAGGCUGAAGCGCUCGUUCCGCUGGGAAGGAGAGAGCCGGGAGCGAAUGUGCUGGGUUCGGCUCCUCCUCGGAGGCUUUAGAGCAAACGGAGCCGAGCUCUGCUCAGAACACAAUGGAAAAGAGGCCCUGUGCUGUAGCGCCUGUUUGCUCUAUCACUUUAGAUUCUUUCACUUUACCCCUAUUCCUCCUUUUCUAAAUCCCAGUGCCGAGCAAAGCCCUUUUACAGAUAGAAAAAGAAACUGAAAAUGGAAACGAAAAGUCAAUUAUUUUGCCAUCCUAUCUAUUGAAUGAGAAGGUACAAAGGUCUGACCCCCAGACAUUGGUGAGGUCACUUGGUAGGAAACUAUUUUCUUCCUCAUGUGCCAGUGCUUGCUUUCAGCCCAUCUGGUAUAAAAGAUCUUACUUGGACCUUUCUCCAGAUGGCCAGUUUUGUUUCUGUAUCUGUCAUUUUUUCUCCUUUUCUAAACUUCCUGAGCACUGCACCACCGUCUGUAGCACAGACCAGACAGCUGCAGUAUAAAGUGGAAACACUGGAAACGGCCCUACAGCACAUGACCAGAAAAUCUGUGAGACAGACUGAGAAAACUCAGCACCAACCAAGUAUGGUGGGGAUCAAUAAACUGCAGCAACUACUAAAAAAGAAGGCUUGAGAGAUGCACUGAGUGAAGAGCAUAGCCCAGAAUAUCUUAAAUGAAGGGACUGAGGUGUAAAGACUCUAUAUAGAUGCUCUGUGAUGGGAAUCAGGAGAUCACGUCCAGUAGAAAGCAUUAAAAGGAAAAGGCCAAAACUGCCUAUAACAAAACAAAACAAAAAUACAGAGGCAUGUGCAGCCAAGUAGCAAUUUCCUCAAAUCAAAACGUUAAAAGCAACAGAAAUUGCAAAAUAAUGUGCACAGAGACCUGGAGGAAGCACAUAAAUGCUGCUGGUAUGGAAAUGUUGAAAACUAGUGUCCAUGUUCCUAGAGAGACACCUAAAAAAUCCUUUGCAUGAUAAUAUUUUUUGGAUUUGGAAUGCUUAUGGAGACUUCUGUAGUGAAAAUAACUGUAUGAGUUGCAGUAUUCUAUAAAUUAGCAAUGACUUUAUGGCAACCUAAUUUCAACUAGGUUAUCACUUUUUGGUUCUUAUUUCUAUGGAUUAAACUAAAGGUAAACUCAAAAGAGUUAUUUUCGUAUUCUGCCAUGUCAUGUGGAAUUUGAUAGAGAACUUCCAGUACAGAUGUGCUUCUGUAGUUUCAUUUUAAUAGUUAUCAUUGCUUCUUUUUUUGUUCUAUAGGCAUUGCUUUUUCUGGCAUUGCUCUUUUGCUUUUUACUCAUUCCAGUGAGCUAACAGUGAAGCCUAAAAAAAUUACAAUUAAGGUGCUAACAGGUCUUUCCUGUAUUGCUGAUCUUUUAACAGAAACACAGUAGAUGGCAAAUCCAGUCUGUUUUCCACUGGUUUUCCAUGUCUCAGAAGCUUCUGCUUUGCAUUGUGCUUUCAAGGCUGUUUUCCUCAAGCUCUCUAAUAAUCUAAAAAUUAAGUAAUUACAUGAAACAGACACUGGCAUAUUGAAAACAGGAUCACAUGCAGUGCAGUUCUGAUUGACAGGAUUACAUUUUAUAGUGAAUAAAACAAAAUCUCAGAUUUACAAGUGUAUCUCAGAAUUCCUGUUAGGAUGCAGUUUAAAUUAAACUAGAGCCACACAUGCUGCAGUAGCCAGGAUUGCAGAUCUCCUGCCUUGUGAUAGACUUCUGUAUCUACCAACUGCAGCAGUGUCUGAGCACUUGGAUUUUAAGCCAUAGAGUUAAGGUCCCCCAUAGCUGAAGAUUUCAUGCAUUGGUGAGAGAUUAACAUGAUCCUAAACCCCAGAAAAAUGUUUGUUUAGUAUGGAUUGGCUACUGAAUAACUUAGUGACACAUAGUCAGUUGGAAUGCUUUGUUCAGGUUAUCUCAAAGAUGAUACAGCAGAAACACUCCCUGAAAAAACAGGGAUGAAAUUUGUAAUUGAGGUCUAAGGAAUCCUCUCCCCUGGAGAAGAAGGGAGAGACUGGAACUGAGGAAGAAAAUUGUGUAUUGACCCUUUUAUGUAUGAACAGGAGAGACAAGGAAAGGACAAUGUGUUUGAAACUAGUUAAUGUUUGUACAAGGCCUCCCCCUCGCCGUAUUUCUAACCACUAACAGAACAGAAGUCAUUGGGUUUGUUCUAUUUACUUUAGAGAGUCUUAGAUUUAGAAGUUGAAAACACAACACUGUGUGCUUACAUUUAUUUUUUAAAUUUAUGUGAUAUGAAAGGCCAAAUAAGAGCAAAGCAGAGCUAGAACUUAAUCCUGCUUUACACAUACAGAAUUCAUGAAUUAUAUGCCUUUGAAUUUUUUUUCUAAUACAUUGAUCUUUUCCAUGUUUUUCAGGGGAAAAAGAAAUUUUGAAAAACUGGAUAUCAGUAAGUUGACAUGAGAAAAAAACCCCAUGUUUUGUGAUUGCUUUUUGUCCAAAUGAAUGGGAAAAUCCAUGGUAAUCUUUUGUUUCUUCAGUAGGUGGAUACUGAACUGGGCUGAUCACUCCAGGUCACAGGAUUCCAGUAAAUUCUGAAUCUAACAUAAGAAUCUAGCUGUGUGGCUUGGUGUGAGCAGGCCACAUUAUCAGAUUCAUCCUCUUCUGCAGUGAUCCUUCCGCAUGUUCAGAUGUGAACAGCACAGACCAAGUAAGGCAGCUAUAUACUUUCCAUGAACAGCAGUCAGCAACUAGCAACUCACCUGCACUUUUCAUUUUGAAAGCUAGCUUCUGAGUAAGGCUGUGAAUUCUAGAUCCCCUGUCUGCUGCAUUGAUGCUUUCACUCUGUGUUUGAAAUCCAUCUGAAAUAUACUUAUUUUCUCCUUCUUAAAUUCCUAUU